GGCCUAGUCCACUUUAUUUGCGGUGGAAAUAACGCACCGUGUUCGACAUGGUCGGUUGAAUAAACCAAUACAUAAACAAAAAUAGUCUCCGGAUUUUUCAUAGGCAUUACUAAAUUUUAAAUUUUUUAUUGAAGAUAGGGCUGAAAAAUCGACGCGUAAAGAAGUAGGGGAAGAAAUUUGUUUCAGAUUGGCCCUCUGAUUUGGUUUCUCACAGGAGCAGGGCUGUAACUGCUUUGAAGGAGGACUGCUAAAUUUUAUUAGCUGCUGUUUUGGUGAGCAAUUGCUGGGCAGUUUUACAAAAGAUUCGGAGAACUGGGGGCUAAACUGAAGAAUCUGGGAAAAAAAAAGUUGACGAUCGCACGGCUGUGGAUGAGUGAGUAAUCUUAAUGUGCUGAAGGAAGUAUUGUUCUUAACAUAUUUGCAAGUGGGACUUCCCAGUUAUAAAGAUCAGUUAUAAAGAAAAGGCUAAGAAUGGCUGCUGCUCUUGUUGAGAGAGCAACAAGUGACAUGCUCAUUGGUCCUGACUGGGGAAUGAACAUUGAGAUCUGUGACAUUCUUAAUGGUGACCCGGGACAAGCAAAGGAAGUAAUCAAAGCAAUUAAGAAACGCAUUGCCAAUAAGAAUCCUAAGAUCCAGAUUCUUUCUCUGACGCUAUUAGAGACACUUACAAAAAAUUGUGGUGAUAGUGUUCACUUGCAAGUUGCUGAGAGAGAUGUGCUACAUGAAAUGGUCAAGAUAGUAAAGAAAAAGCCAGAUUUAAAUGUUAGAGAAAAGAUCUUGGUCCUGCUAGAUACAUGGCAGGAAGCUUUUGGGGGGCCAAAUGGAAAAUAUCCACAAUAUUAUUCUGCAUACCACGAGUUACUGCGUGCAGGAGUAGAAUAUCCACCACGUCCAGAGAGCUCUGCUCCAAUAUUUACUCCACCUCAGACACAACCAAUAACUUCUUAUCCAACUCAAAGCCAUGUACCUUCAGGUUUUGAGGAUGGAGUUGAACUUGAGGCAUCAAUGGCUUCUGAUGUUACUGGUCUAAGCUUGACAGAGAUUCAGAAUGCACGAGGUAUAAUUGAUGUAUUGACGGAGAUGCUCAAUGCUUUAGAUCCUCGUAGCAAGGAGGGCGUGAAGCAGGAAGUGAUUAUAGAUCUUGUCGGACAAUGCCGUACUUACAAGCAGCGCGUGAUGCAUCUUGUGAAUACAACUUCGGAUGAGGAGCUUCUUGGUCAGGGUCUUGCAUUGAAUGAUGACCUGGAUCGUGUACUAGGGAAACAUGAUUCCAUUACUGCAGGGUCUCCUGUUACGUGGGAGAGGACAUCAACUCGGGCAGCUCCUCUUGUCAGUGUCAACCAUGAGGAAGAUGAGAUGGAGGAUAAUUUAACACAACUAGCUCGCAGGUCAAGAUCCAGUGCACAGGCUCAUCAGAAACUUGGUAACACUGAAAAUAAUCAGUCAACAGGUCAACUCCCAUUGAUACCUCCACCACCAGGACUUAAAAAAAUUGAUACUCACGGUCAGAAAACUGAGCAGACAAUGGAUUUUCUCAGUGGCGAUGCUUACGAGUCACCAACUGCUGCAACUCCACCACCAGCUAGCACAGUCAAUGAGCAAUACACACAUUCCCCACCAGUAUCUCUUUCCCAGCAAGCUUCUCCAUAUCCAUUGAAUUCACAAUCAAAUUCUCCAUAUCGAAAUGGAGGUUACUCUUCAGGGAUGUCAUCAACACAACAGAAUGAAUACCAAAAGUUUCCACACCAUGGCCCAGAGUCAUACUCUGACAAAUCUAGCCAGGGUUUGCAAUGGUCAAAUCCGGCAGGGCAGUCUCUUAAUCCACAACAGUCAGCUCUCUUAUAUGGGCCACAAUCACAGAAUUUGAAAGCAUCAACACAAAAGACUCCCGGAAGCCUUCCUCUUGCUCCUUGGGAACUGGAACAAUCGCAGAAUACAUCACAAGGCGUGGAUAGUCAACAAGGACCUCCCAUAUAUGAUAGCAAUGUUAGAACAGUUAUUCCCCCUCCUCCAGCAAAGCACAAUCAGAGGCAGCAGUUUUUUCAGCAGCAGCAAGCUUUGGGUUCUGGCCAGUUUAUGCAUGGUUACAGUGAAUCUACACAUGAUGACUUGAUAUCAAGGACACAAAACAUCUCCAUUCAUGAUGGAACUUACAAUGAUGCAUAUGGAACUGCAUAUUCACAACAAUCUUCAACUUCCAGCAAACAAGUUAAACCUGAAGAUAAGCUGUUUGAAGACCUGGUUGACUUUGCCAAGGCAAAAAGUAAAACUUCACCCAAUAAAAGCGGAAGUUUGUAAAAAAUAGAGCUCAUUCUCUUGCAUGGAUAAGGCUCCGGCACAAAUGCUCCCACCAAUGCGAGCAUCUUUUGGGUUAUAUUGUGUUGCUACACAGCCUAUGCUUGUGCAGUUAGCAUGGUCCAUUAGGAAGGAAAUAGGCAAUUCAUAUGUUUUAAGCAUAAUUCAGUUGUUUAUGGCAAAGCUAUUGGGACUGAAGCCAAUGUCAGAGAAAGUCUGUAUUUCUGUCGAGAUGAUGGUAUUAAUCUUUACUGUUCAUUAAUUUUUAGUUUUCUAUUUUGAAAUGAUUUUCUGCCAUCUCUUGCUUUUGCCGCUAUUCUCAUACUUCAAUACUAACAAUAAAAAACUGAUUGCUAUCUCUAACCAACUUUUGUACCUCCCCAUGCGCCUCUCGUAAUGUUGACAAGGAACAUAUCUUGUUUUGCAUUA